rnacentral:rRNA from 1 species
GAUGAACGCUGGCGGCGUGCUUAAUACAUGCAAGUCGAGCGAACGGACGAGAAGCUUGCUUCUCUGAUGUUAGCGGCGGACGGGUGAGUAACACGUGGAUACCCUACUUAUAAGACUGGGAUAACUUCGGGACACCGGAUCUAACACCGGAUAAUAUUUUGAACCGCAUGGUUCAUAAGUGAAAGACGGUCUUGCUGUCACUUAUAGAUGGUUCCGAGCUGCAUUAGGUAGUUGGUAAGGUAACGGCUUACCAAGGCGACGAUGCGUAGCCGACCUGAGAGGGUGAUCGGCCACACUGGAACUGAGACACGGUCCAGACUCCUACGGGAGGCAGCAGUAGGGAAUCUUCCGCAAUGGGCGAAAGCCUGACGGAGCAACGCCGCGUGAGUGAUGAAGGUCUUCGGAUCGUAAAACUCUGUUAUUGGGGAAGAACAGAUGUGUAAGUAACUGUGCACAUCUUGACGGUACCUAAUCAGAAAGCCACGGCUAACUACGUG